rnacentral:lncRNA from 1 species
CUCUUUCGUUAGAGUUUAAUUUCAAGAAAAAGACAAAAAUAGCACUAAAUCAAAUUUUUGUUCCCAAACUAGCACUGAAGGUCAAAAGUCACAAAAAUAGCACUUAAUGUUUUAUCAAAAGUCACAAACUUAGGGUUUAGAGUUAAAGGGUGGAGUUUAGGAUUUAGGGUUUAGGGUUUAGAGUUUAGGGUUUAGGAUUUAGGGUUUAGGGUUUAGGGUUUAGGGUUUAGAAUUUAGGGUUUAGGGUUUAGAGUUUAGGGUUUAGGGUUUAGGGUUUAGAAUUUAUGGUUUAGGGUUUAGAGUUUAUGGUUUAGGGUUUAGAGUUGAGAAAUGAGGUUUUGAGGAUCAGAUUUCAAAUUUUGAAAAAUAAAAAAAUUAAAAUUUUCAAAUGAUAAAAUGCUAUUUUGGUCAUUUUAGUUUUUGAGUGCUAUUUUUGUGAUAUAAACUUAGAAAUGUGCUAUUUUGGAAAUUUGCCUUUUAAUUUUUGUAGGUCAUCAUUAAUUCCUUCAAGCUUAUAAUAAGAAAAAACAUUCUAAGCGCAUAUAAUUAAAUAUUACUUUAUUCUUUAUUUUAGUUCAAUAUGAUAAAGCAGUUGCAAAGCUGAAAAGUUGAUCGACAAUUUCACAUUUUGUCUUUGUCAUCAUUUAUCUCAAGCAUGCGUUGGUCUUUCAUUUUCGGUACCAUUAUUUUCCAUUUUUUUGAUUAAUUACAUUUUAUGACUAUCAUUAUCAUUAGUUAUCAUGUU